GGCGAGGUGUGGACGUGACCAGAGGCACCGGGCAUCCCUCCUCCCUUUCAAUGUUCGAAGAUGAAACUACCAGCCACGCUCCUAUGUUCUCAGCAGGUUUGGAGGACUCACUAGCCAUCUCACAAAAGAAAGGAAUGAAAAGAAAAACUGAAAAAAAGAAAAAACCACGGCACUAUAUGCUGUAUCCACUAAAACUCAUCUUCCUGAAGACACUUCUACAACAUGGGACAUUGUUCAUGUAUUAAUAAGAAUAGGAAGCAAGUUACAAAACCAUAUAUGCACAACAUGAGCUCAGCUUAGAGGGGAACCCGUGUAUUCGCAGAGAAAAGAUCUGAUGGGAAAACCUCAAAAAUGUCAACAGCAAUUCUUCUCCUUUGUAUACUCUUAAGCGAUACCCAAAUUUUCACAAUGAACAGGUGUUAAUUUUCUAGUUUUAAUAGGAAACCAAUAUAUGUUAUGUAAAUUCUCUGCAGAAAGGUCUGACGUAAGACCUACCAUGUUACUUCUAUCAAUCAGGAUCUAGUGUGGGAAACGGAAGCCCCGCAAGGCACUUCCAGGAAAGGUAUAUCGCAUGGAGGGGAUUAGGAGCCUGCUGUGCUCUGGGAAGGCUAGAGGAGCCAGAGGCUCUCCCCGGACCAAUUUGUAGGAGGGCGUGCCGCUGUGGCUCUGAUUCAAAAGUCAAAAGUCAAGGCCACCGCAGCCACAUGCACUUGUCACACCCAUGAGGCAUCUUGAGAGAGUGCUGUAGGUUGCAGGGGGUCCCAGACAGCUACAGCCUCCACCUCAGUCCUACCUCAUAGAUCACACGAGUGCCUCUUCUCCAUGCACCCAGGUGUAGGAGUCUGGUGAGUGGAGGUUAGAGCAUUGUGGCCCCUGCACACCUUCCCUGGGGGUUCUGCUCCAGGGGGUUGGAAAGGAGGUGACCGAGAGAGCCAGCUUUCCCUUUGUACUUUAUACCCUGCGGAUGUAAAGCCAGAGCCACCAUAAGUGGGCGGCUUAAGCAACAGAAAUGUAUCGUCUCAGCGCUGGAGGCUGGAAGUCCAAGAUCAAGGCGUCUCGGCAGCAUGGGUCCUUUCUGAGGCCAUAGGGAGAAUCUGUUCCGGGCCUCUCUCGGUGGAUUAUAGAUGGCUGUGCCUUCACAGGGUCUUCCCUCUGUGCAUGUCUCUGCAUCCACACUUUCUGUUUUAUAAGGACAUCAGUCCUAUUGGAUCAGGGGCCACCCACUCCAGUACGACUUCAUCUUACUCAGUGACACCUACAAUGACCCUGUUUCCAAAUCAGCU
rnacentral:lncRNA from 1 species